rnacentral:rRNA from 1 species
GACGAACGCUGGCGGCGUGCCUAAUACAUGCAAGUUGAGCGCUGAAGGUUGGUACUUGUCCCAACUGGCUGAGCAGCGAACGGGUGAGUAACGCGUGGGGAAUCUGCCUUUGAGCGGGGGACAACAUUUGGAAACGAAUGCUAAUACCGCAUAAAAACUUUAAACACAAGUUUUAAGUUUGAAAGAUGCAAUUGCAUCACUCAAAGAUGAUCCCGCGUUGUAUUAGCUAGUUGGUGAGGUAAAGGCUCACCAAGGCGAUGAUACAUAGCCGACCUGAGAGGGUGAUCGGCCACAUUGGGACUGAGACACGGCCCAAACUCCUUCGGGAGGCAGCAGUAGUGAAUCUUCGGCAAUGGACGAAAGUCUGACCGAGCAACGCCGCGUGAGUGAAGAAGGUUUUCGGAUCGUAAAACUCUGUUGGUAGAGAAGAACGUUGGUGAGAGUGGAAAGCUCAUCAAGUGACGGUAACUACCCAGAAAGGGACGGCUAACUACGUG